UGCUCACAAAACAAUGGAUUCUCUUGCCUUGACCUAUGUUAGAUUUGCAAAUAUAUCAUCCUCUACCAGAGGAGUGAGUUAACGCUACUCUGCAACAGAACUGUUUGUGCAGAAGCGGGUUAACGUCGCUGUUCCAGGUUUUUUGUAUUUAUUACAGGAUUGUGGCAUUUUACAGGGUUAUUUUCUUUCUUGGACCAAAAGGCUAAUCGAUGUUGUUGAACGUAUUGAACUUGCUGCUCGCACACACACACCAAGUAGGUAAGUGAGGUAAGCCCAAGUAGGGUGACGAAUCAAACCAGUUUACCUAAAAAAAACACAAAUGUGAUCAACAUUACCAAACCUUUAUUCAUGGCGGCCGCGGGACGUCACUGUUUCCUAGCGCCACCAGUUUGUGUCCAAGAUGAUCCAAGAGAAAGCUCACUAUAAUACAUUUAAUUUUAUAUAGCGCUUCUCAUCUGCCAAGACAAAUCUGGAAGCGCUUCACAACAAAGGACACUGAUAGAAUUUGAGAGAUAAAAAAAUAAAUAAUAAUAAUUUAAAAAUAAAAGAAUAAUAAAUUAAAUUAAAUAAAUAAAAUAAAAGUCGGAGAUAGCGAUACAAAUGGCAGUACUCCAGGUGUACCAUGCUCAAAGUUUAUUGGAAGGCCUGCCGAAAAAGAAGAGGGUCUUAAGGCCGGUUUUGAAGACCUCGGUGGAAGGGGCAGAUCUCAGCUGACCAGAGGCGCGGGGCGAAUGAGUAGAAGGCUCGGUCUCCCAUUGUUCGGAGACUAUGAUCGAUAGAGGCUCGUAAAACAUUCCCUGGGAUGUGUUGCUCUGCUGGCUGCGACAGACGUCAGAGAAACCCCGGACUACAAUUUGAUUAGAUCCCAAAGGAGUGUUAUCGCGGAAUAAAUGGUUGGAUUCAACCAGACUGGACCACUGGCAUCUAACUCCGGAUGCCAUCAACACGUUGUUUCUGGAGGAAAAGAGGCAGAAAAGCCCCUAGGCCAACAUCAGGUUGAGCAACUGUGGCCCCCCGCAGUGAAGACACUGACCUUAAGACUUCCAGCACCAGCGAUGCAACUGUGCAUGAAAAUGGAAGAACAUACAGAAUUUGUAAAGGAUGAUAACAAUUAAUCCAAUAUAUAGCAUGCAUUUAAUAUCUUAUCUUAAAAAUAGAUACAUCACAAUAUUCAUUAUUAAAGUAAUACACUUUU